AUGCACGCUGGCGGCGUGCCUAAUCCCUGCAAGUCGCGCGCACAGACGAGGAGCUUGCUCCUCUGACGUUAGCGGCGGACGGGUGAGUAACACGUGGAUAACCUACCUAUAAGACUGGGAUAACUUCGGGAAACCGGAGCUAAUACCGGAUAAUAUAUUGAACCGCAUGGUUCAAUAGUGAAAGACGGUUUUGCUGUCACUUAUAGAUGGAUCCGCGCCGCAUUAGCUAGUUGGUAAGGUAACGGCUUACCAAGGCAACGAUGCGUAGCCGACCUGAGAGGGGGAUCGGCCAACAUGGAAAGGAGAACCGGCCACAACCCCGACGGGAGGCAGAAGGAGGGAAUCUUCCGAAAUGGGCGAAAGCCUGAGGGAGCAACGCCGGGGGGGGGAUGAAGGUCUUCGGAUCGUAAAACUCUUUUAUUAGGGAAAAAAAAAUGUGUAAGUAACUAUGCACGUUUGGACGGAACCAAAUAAGAAAGCCACGCCUAACUACGG
rnacentral:rRNA from 1 species